rnacentral:tRNA from 1 species
UCCCAGGUGGUCUAGUGGUUAGGACUCUGCAGUUCCACUGCAGGGGCACAAGUUCAAUCCCUGGUUGGGGAA